AUCUAUGGCAAUGCCACCUUGAAUGUGCCUGAUCUUAUCUGAUCUCAGAAGCUAAACAGGGUCAGGCCCGGUUAGUACUUGGAUGGGAGACCACCAAGGAAUACCAGGUGCUGUAGGCA
rnacentral:rRNA from 1 species